AUGAGAAGGCAUGGACAUCAAUCCAACACACCUGCAACAGCCGUCGCCAUCUUUGGCUUUGAGUACCGCGAAAAGUGUCCCUUCCGAAAGAAAGAGAACUCGAGUCAUCCGACCGGUCCAGCACCGCGGCCGGGCCAUCCACCCGGACAAAACAGGAUCUCCCACCAGCAUCGACGCAGAGGAAGGAGAAGAACAGCAACAGCAAAUCAUACCGGCAAGAAAGAAGAAGGGUCUUCGUCUCCGUGCAUCCAUCGCCCAUAUGAGGACCCAAACGGCCAGUGCCAAUGGACCUCCAUCCACCAUAGCCCUUGA
rnacentral:rRNA from 1 species